UCGUUUCCCAGAGUUAGCGUCCCUCCCGAAGCUGCGCGCUCGGUCGAAGAGGACGACCAUCCCUGAUAGAGGAGGACCGUUCUUCGGUCAAGGGUAUACGAGUAGCUGCGCUCCCCUGCUAGAACCUCCAAACAAGCUCUCAAGUCCAAGAGGUUUUAAAAUAUUGCUUAUUAGACUCAAAGAACUU
rnacentral:snRNA from 1 species